rnacentral:rRNA from 1 species
UACGGAAGGGGCAAGCGUUGUUCGGAAUCAUUGGGCGUAAAGGGCGCGCAGGUGGUUCUGUAUGUCUGCCGUGAAAGCAUACAGCUCAACUGUAUUGUGUCGGUAGAAACUGCAGGACUUGAGGCUGGGAGGGGCUGGUGGAAUUCCCUGUGUAGCGGUGAAAUGCGUAGAUAUCGUAAGGAAGACCAGUGGCGAAGGCGGGUCUCUGGACAGUUCCUGACGCUGAGGCACGAAGGUCAGGGGAGCAAACGGG